GAGAUUUUGACUACUUGAGACGUACAACAAACUUAACAUCGUAUUCUGAAAUCGCAGAUGAAACUGAAAACCGCACCUAACAUUUUUCUUUAUAACACAUGGUUAAAUUAAUAAAUUCCGAUAUAAUGUGGAUACGAGACCUUUUAACAACUUUAGAAGUUCAGCACAGACAUGCAAGUAGCAUCAAUGUGAUAGGAACAAUUCUUAAAAUAAUUGCUGGAACGCCUGACUUUGAUGACUUCGAGGGACUUAAAUUUAAACAACAAGAAAUCACAAACGCUAUAAACAGACAAGACAACGAAGACGUGGACCUGAAUAUGCAAUUUUGUGUCAUAUGCUGCAGAAUCUAAAUGGAAAGUUGGCCACAUGUAUUGUUAAAUAAUAAUUUUGUUUUGAUUCGAGUAAAUGAAUACCGUGAACGCAAUCCAUCUGACAGGCCUAGAAAUGCUUUGUGUAUAGUAACCAGGCGGCUAAAGGCAAAUUUCCGGAAGAAUAACGAGUUUCUCGGCAAUUGAGGAGGCAUAACUCAUUUAACGUAGAGUUGAACAACUACGUGAUACUGCCCAACAUUCCCUUCGCCGACAAAGUGUAACAUAUAGGCAAUUCGAGCGUGAACGAGAAGCAUUAAACAACUUCGUAGGCAGGAUGAAUCUUAGAGGCAAAUAGAGCGGGAAAGAGACGCUAUGAACCACAAAGCUCGUCGUCAGGACGAAAACCACAGAUUAUCCGAACAACGCUCUGUUCGUCGGGAAGAUGAACCAUCAAGCUCGUCGUCAAGACGAAACCUACAGAUUAUCCGAGCAACAAAGAAAUGCUGCACAACGCUCUGUUCGUCGGGAAGAUGAAUCCCAGAGGCAAUUAAAACGAGAUAGGGAUACAUUAAGCCAUCGAGUUAGUCGCCUGGAAGAAGUCUAUAGAAGAUUGGAGCGAGAGAGAUGCAUUAAGUCACCAGGUUCGUCGCCAGGAUGGAGUUUAUGGUCAACAAGAACGAGAAAGAGGUGCCUUCAAUUACCAGGCUCUCCAGCAGGAUAAGAUUUUAGACAACAAGAACGAGAAACGCAUUAAAUCACCAGGUUCGUCGCCAAGCUUCAACAUUUCCAUCAGAAAAAAUUCCAUACAAAUUUUGAGAUACGUAUAUCAUGUAUGUUGCUCAAGGUGGAAAAAUACCUUCAAUAUGCCUUUCUAAAAGGUUACAUUUCCCAGAUAUACCAGAUGACCUUUGUGGUUUAACAUAGUUAGAACAGCGAUUCGUUUCACCUUGAAUACCCUUUAUGAGAAUCGCUUCCCUAGGAUACAAUCGCCAAUGUGCUGUAAGAGGUGCCGUUUUAACGUACCA